UUGCCAAUGAGGAAAUCAAUCAUACACCAAUUACCAUCUUUCGGGACUGAAUGGCCCAUGGGCCUUGCUGUUAAUUCUGCAAUUCUGAGGCAA